rnacentral:rRNA from 1 species
AGUUGGUGGGGUAGCAGCCUACCAAGGCAACGAUCAGUAGCCGGCCUGAGAGGGUGGACGGCCACACUGGGACUGAGACACGGCCCAGACUCCUACGGGAGGCAGCAGUGGGGAAUAUCGCGCAAUGGGGGAAACCCUGACGCAGCGACGCCGCGUGAGCGAAGAAGGCCUUAGGGUCGUAAAGCUCUGUUGUAAGGGACGAAUGUUUGUCUGGCGAACAGUCAGAUAAAGUGACGGUACCUUACCAGCAAGCCCCGGCUAACUACGUGCCAGCAGCCGCGGUAAGACGUAGGGGGCGAGCGUUGUCCGGAAUUACUGGGCGUAAAGCGCGCGUAGGUGGUUUGUUAAGUUGGAAGUGAAAGCCCCGGGCUUAACCUGGGAAUUGCUUUCAAAACUGACGGGCUAGAGUACGGUAGAGGGUAGUGGAAUUCCUGGUGUAGCGGUGAAAUGCGUAGAAAUCAGGAGGAAUACCAGUGGCGAAGGCGACUUUCUGGACUGACCCUGACGCUGAGGUGCGAAAGCGUGGGUAGCAAACAGGAUUAGAUACCCUGGUAGUCCACGCUGUAAACGAUGGAUACUAGGUGUGGGAGGUAU